rnacentral:lncRNA from 1 species
UGAAUAACCGAAGAAAUGAAACAACUAGAUGAAUGUAUAUUUAUUUAUUAUUUGAUUAUUUUUGCACUGCUCACCUUUAUAUUUAUUAAGAAUAUUUAGUGGUAUUUUCUUUUUUCAGCACUAGAGAAAAUGAACAUGGAUGCAAGUUCUGCAGCAGCUUCAGCGACUGGAACAAGUCAUCCACCGUAAGUAUUUAAUUUGUUUUUGUUUUUUCUGAUUACUUGUAAUCUGGAUACAAAUGAUUAUGUGAAGCUGUGAUAUAUUCUGUCUUUCUGACCCUUCAAACUACUUAUUCCUUGGCCACUGUUAGCACUUGCAGUUUGAAGCUAUAUGAUGCAGUAGAUUAGAUGGGUACUCUGAAAAAUAUAUAAGACUGUAUCAUUAGUUUGGUUAAUCAAUCUACACUUCACUGCUAUGUUUUCUCAGUUUUACACUUUUUAUUUUCUGUAUCUUUUUUUGUUUACUGUAAUUGUUAGAGGUCUUUGGGAGGUAAUUGUGCUGUACAUAUUAAGUUUGAGUUGGCAUUUCAAAAUUAUCUGCCCAGGCUGCAUAAGUUGUACAAUAAUUAUUUGAUCGAGCUUGCAGUUUGAAGCUGCAUGAUAUUGUUUGAACAAAGUAGAGGUACUUCUGGUAUAUGGUUCUCUAACCUUAUGCCUUGGGUCGUUUUAUUGUUUCUGUAUUGGUAGCCAUGUUAAUCCGUCCUGAGAAGGUCAUGUUCUUGUUUUGCUGCUGGAUAGCUUUCUCUCUUUCAAGUUGAGAAUAAGCAUAAUUGAGUAUCUGGCCAUGAGUUUGAACUUGCUUUUCUUUGGGAAUCAUUUGGAUUCAUUUUCUUUCCAUCAGAAAUAGCAUCCUGUUGCUGAGAGGCACUUGCAGUUGUAUAGUUCUGAACUAGUGAUUGAUCAUCGUCCACUUCAAUUCUAGAAAAUUCAGGAUGCUUGAUACUUUUUAAAUUCAGUUGUUAUUAAUUGUACAUGGACAGAAGAGCUUCUCUUUUUUGUUUACUGGAAAUGAUACAGAGUCGUGGAUUCUAUUUGUUUUACGGUUUUUCUAUGGUGUGCCCAUGGGCACACAAUAAGCACUAACUCCUAUGAUUUUGAUGCAUUUUUAUUGGUCAUCUAAUCAUAAAUAAGGAUGGCCCCCCUGCAUUUACACCAAAGUCCACCAACUAAAAUCCACCAAACUCAUCAAAUUUAGUGUAUAUAUAAUGUGUGCCCAUGGGCACACACUAGACAAACCCUGCACAAUAUUGUUGGCUAAGUUCAAUCUUCCCAUCCCUGCAAUUGUUCAGGCCAUUAGUGUUUUAAAAAGACUUGACAUGUUUCUUCGGAUAGUAUCAGUCAGGCACUCAGUCGCAUAACCAUGCACCAUCACUCCAUAAGUUGUAAAUGAUUUAAGUUAAGUUACUGUAUGAUCUGAGCUUGCCAUGUAGUUAUCGGUCCACCACUUAAAUACAUAUAUAUGUUAUUGUAUUCCUUUGUCAUUUUGCAGCAGCACCAGUCAGAGAGGAGCGCCAAUAGCUUGUAUGUCUCCAUCCAGUCAAAGACUCCAAGCAUUCAGCAAUCAGGGCACUUCUGCAGUCAGCCAUAAGCCAUUAGCAUUAGCAAUUAACACUUAAUAUUAACACUCAGCAAGAUACAAGACUGUGCAACUGUGAUGCCAAGAUGUAUUUAAACUUUCUGAUUCAGUAAUCGUAUUCAUGACUUGUAAA